rnacentral:misc_RNA from 1 species
GAAAUGCGAUAAGUAAUGUGAAUUGCAGAAUUCCGUGAAUCAUCGAAUCUUUGAACGCACAUUGCGCCCUCUGGCAUUCCGGGGGGCAUGCCUGUCCGAGCGUCAUUUCUGUCCCUCAAGCACGGCUUGUGUGUUGGGCCGCCGUCCCGCCCGCGAAGGGGGGAGGGACGGGCCUGAAAGGCAGCGGCGGCGCCGCGUGUCCGGUCCUCGAGCGUAUGGGGCUCAGUCACCCGCUCUGGAGGGGCCGGCCGGUGCCCGCCUGACCCGGUUCCUUGUCUCCACGGUUGACCUCGGAUCAGGUAGGAGUACCCGCUGAACUUAA